CUUGCUCAGUCAAGGCAAAGGUUGGCAAGUCCGAGGGCCAACUAAUAUUGAGUAAAAAUUAUAUUUCCUUUGUGAAAAAGAAGGUGGCAGAUCGAAAAGGGGU
rnacentral:ribozyme from 1 species